rnacentral:lncRNA from 10 species
CAAUUACUCAAUUAUUGAUAUGUUUUGGCUGUGUCCCCACCCAAACCUCAUCUUGAAUUGUAACUCCCAUAAUUCCCACGUGUCAUGGGGGGAACCUGGUGGGAGGUGAUUGAAUUAUGGGAGCGGGUAUUUCCUGUGCUGUUCUCGUGAUAGUGAAUGAAUCUCACAAGAUCUGAUGGUUUUAAAAGAUGGGAGUUUGCCUGCACAAGCUCUCUCUUUGCCUGCCACCCUGUAAGAUAUGACUUGCUCCUCCUUGCCUUCCACCCUGUUUGUGAGGCUUCCCUGGUCACAUGGAACUUUGCUUGUUGCAUGCCUUCUAAACAGCCUACCCUGCCAAGUGCCAUGAUUACUGUGACCACAUCUUCAGAACCAGAAAACAGGAUACCUGGCCCUAAGCAUGCACUCAUGGAGCAGAAGAGUUUUAAAUCUGGAAUGCCACAGAAGACAGAAGAUAACAUGCUUACUACACUUGUAAAGCAACAUGCAGCCAGCCAUUUCCAGUGCAAAUUAUCUCAUUGCAUAGUGUGACAACUAAAGCCCUGUGGCAAUGGCAAAGAAAGUGAGGCUAUGAGGCAAAGGGACAUGCAGCAACUCCC